rnacentral:pre_miRNA from 1 species
UUUUCCUAUGUUUCUGAAUAAAUGUGACUUCGCAAUAAGGGCGAUGAGUCACAUUUAUUGAGAAACAUAGGGA